UCUCUGUUAGUAUAUCGGUUAGUACACGCGCCUGUCAUAACCCUCUCCUUCGUUGGUCGCGCGAAAGCGGGGUUCGACUCCCCGACAGAGAG